UACGAAGGGGGCUAGCGUUGCUCGGAAUCACUGGGCGUAAAGGGUGCGUAGGCGGGUUUUUAAGUCAGGGGUGAAAUCCUGGAGCUCAACUCCAGAACUGCCUUUGAUACUGAAGAUCUUGAGUUCGGGAGAGGUGAGUGGAACUGCGAGUGUAGAGGUGAAAUUCGUAGAUAUUGGGAAGAACACCGGUGGCGAAGGCGGCUCACUGGCUCAUUUCUGACGCUCAGGCGCGACAGCGUGGGGAUCAAACAGG
rnacentral:rRNA from 1 species